GCCACAUCUCAUGGCUUUCCUCAGCUGAUGGCAUCAUGGAUCCUGUACCUGAUAUGUGAACACCUGUAAUCAAGCCACCAAAUUUCCAGGUCACGUGACCAUGGCAACUGAGCAGACUCUAACAUGUGGCUGAAUAAUGCUUGGUAAAAACUAAAGACAGAACAACCCCUUCUGGUGUGAACAAAGUAUCUCUCUUUUGUCCUGGCUGCCUUGCUGGCUGGAAACCCAAAGUAUCCUCUCUGCCUCCAACCUGAGGACGCAUGAUGAACGUCUGAGGUAUUCAUUUAGCAUUUUCCGUGCGUGCCAGCAUGUGCUGUAGACUCAAAGGGUCGAGAUGCCUGCAGAGAGGAGGGAGGAAACAAAAGAAAUCAUCUGCAGAGAUCUUUUCUGUCCCACCAACCACAUCCCCCGCUAACGCCAGGAGACAUGAAACCCAUUAUCUUGAUGGGAUCAGGCAGCAUCCAUCUUAAUACUGGAUCGCAUAUGAUGACAAUGAUGAUCCUCGGAGCAACAUGCCACCAGCUCGAGAGCUUCCUGGUUGCAGGUUUGGAGCGAAUCCCAUGAGAAAAUUCUUUUUUUUUAAAAACCCACUUACAAAAAGGCUCGGCUUGUAUCUCAAUCUGGUUUAAUCCAACUGUGAAUUAUUAAUCAAACAAGAUCUGUGUGCCCGUGCGUCUGUCCAUCGACGCAUCCAUUUUUCAGCACCUGCAGGUCCCAAUCCUGUCAUUUCCUUAAUCAUAAUUUCAGUUAUUGCCCUGAUCUAAUGCACUAACUUUUAAUAAAUCAUACCAGUUGAAACAGCU